rnacentral:piRNA from 1 species
CCUCGGUCUCCGCCGGAGGAUCGUG